rnacentral:rRNA from 1 species
UACGGGGGGGGCAAGCGUUGUUCGGAAUUACUGGGCGUAAAGGGUUUGUAGGUGGCUUGUUAAGUCAGACGUGAAAUCCCUCAGCUUAACUGGGGAACUGCGUCUGAUACUGGCGAGCUUGAGUGUAGGAGAGGAACGCGGAAUUCCAGGUGUAGCGGUGAAAUGCGUAGAUAUCUGGAGGAACACCGGUGGCGAAGGCGGCGUUCUGGACUGCAACUGACACUGAGAAACGAAAGCCAGGGUAGCAAACGGG